rnacentral:piRNA from 1 species
UGCACAUCUUGUGAUUAAUUACCAGAUGU